AGAGUUUGAUCCUGGCUCAGGAUGAACGCUGGCGGCGUGCCUAACACAUGCAAGUCGAGCGAGAAGAUUAUGAAUGAUCCUUCGGGUGAGUGAUUAAUUGGAAAGCGGCGGACGGGUGAGUAACGCGUGAGUAACCUGCCCCAUACACAGGGAUAGCCAUUGGAAACGAUGAUUAAUACCUGAUAAUACUUUUAUAACACAUGUUGUAAAGGUCAAAGAUUUAUCGGUAUGGGAUGGACUCGCGUCUGAUUAGCUAGUUGGUAAGGUAACGGCUUACCAAGGCGACGAUCAGUAGCCGACCUGAGAGGGUGAUCGGCCACACUGGAACUGAGACACGGUCCAGACUCCUACGGGAGGCAGCAGUGGGGAAUAUUGCACAAUGGACGCAAGUCUGAUGCAGCAACGCCGCGUGAACGAUGAAGGCUUUCGGGUCGUAAAGUUCUUUUCUUAGGGAAGAAAAAUGACGGUACCUAAGGAAUAAGCACCGGCUAACUACGUGCCAGCAGCCGCGGUAAUACGUAGGGUGCAAGCGUUAUCCGGAAUCACUGGGCGUAAAGGGUGCGUANGCGGCCUUGCNAGUCANAAGNGAAAGGCUACGGCUNAACCGUAGUAAGCU
rnacentral:rRNA from 1 species